AGAGUUUGAUCCUGGCUCAGAUUGAACGCUGGCGGCAGGCCUAACACAUGCAAGUCGAGCGGUAGCACAGAGAGCUUGCUCUCGGGGUGACGAGCGGCGGACGGGUGAGUAAUGUCUGGGAAACUGCCUGAUGGAGGGGGAUAACUACUGGAAACGGUAGCUAAUACCGCAUAACGUCGCAAGACCAAAGUGGGGGACCUUCGGGCCUCAUGCCAUCAGAUGUGCCCAGAUGGGAUUAGCUAGUAGGUGGGGUAAUGGCUCACCUAGGCGACGAUCCCUAGCUGGUCUGAGAGGAUGACCAGCCACACUGGAACUGAGACACGGUCCAGACUCCUACGGGAGGCAGCAGUGGGGAAUAUUGCACAAUGGGCGCAAGCCUGAUGCAGCCAUGCCGCGUGUAUGAAGAAGGCCUUCGGGUUGUAAAGUACUUUCAGCGAGGAGGAAGGCAUUAAGGUUAAUAACCUUAGUGAUUGACGUUACUCGCAGAAGAAGCACCGGCUAACUCCGUGCCAGCAGCCGCGGUAAUACGGAGGGUGCAAGCGUUAAUCGGAAUUACUGGGCGUAAAGCGCACGCAGGCGGUCUGUUAAGUCAGAUGUGAAAUCCCCGGGCUCAACCUGGGAACUGCAUUUGAAACUGGCAGGCUUGAGUCUUGUAGAGGGGGGUAGAAUUCCAGGUGUAGCGGUGAAAUGCGUAGAGAUCUGGAGGAAUACCGGUGGCGAAGGCGGCCCCCUGGACAAAGACUGACGCUCAGGUGCGAAAGCGUGGGGAGCAAACAGAAGUAGAUACCCUGGUAGUCCACGCUGUAAACG
rnacentral:rRNA from 1 species